AGGACGUGCUGGGCAGGGGCUCCCAGAAGGAGCCAAGGGCCAAGCAAGAGGGAGAAGGCUGGGGCCGGGGCCGGAGAAGAGAAGAAGGAAGUGGCGGCUGGAGAGGGAGGGGAUCCAGAUUUUCUAAGUCAAGCUGAGCAACUUGGAUCUCACCCUGUGGACACGGGGGAGCCGGAGAAGGGGUGGCUCAGGCCGGCGUUUCAGAACGCUCCCUACCGCAGUGGAAGAAGUUAGAGGCAAGACCAGGUCUGCAGCGGGUGAGGAGGCUGCUCAGGAACCCAGGGCGGGGCGGCAGCCUGAGGACAGAGUGGGAGCUGGGCAAGCCUCAUCUGGGGGCUGGGGGCAACACCCUGGUUUCUGGUUCAGGCAUCUGGGAGGACAGAGGAACCCUUAGCAGAGCCACAGAGCCCUGGAGGGGGAGCACGGGGGUCAGGAGAAGCUGGCUAGCAGCAGCACUGGACUCGGGUUUCCCCAGCGGAGGGCAUGUGAGCCACAGCAGAGCCAGAGGGCACCUCAUGGCAGGCCGGGACGGGAGCGGCAUCCCAGUGCCCCUGGCAGGGUCUCUGGGCUCCAGCAGAUGAGCGUGGCCACAGGACAGCCAAAGGCUGGGAAGAGUCUGGAGCAGUGACCACAGAGUGUGCACUGGCUUCAGCCACAAAGCGGUGGCUUGGAAGGGGCCUGAGAAGUGCCAGCCUGGAGAGCUAGACUUCUGUGACCCAGAAGCCCACAAGGAGCCCCCUGGGAGGUGACAGGGUGGUGAGAGUGGGUGUCCUCAUACCUUUCAAAAGCUGUGAGUGAAAGAGAUGGGGAGGGAACGAGAGGACCAUGUGGGGUCUCAGGCAGGGUCAUCAGAUGGGUGCAGUCACCAGUGAAAGCUGAGCUUCAGGUGAACAAGGAAUCGUUCCUCAGUGUAAGUGCGUCCUGUGCAACACUGAGGACAGGCUUCUACUACAAAGUGUCUAUCUGAGAUCCAGAUGUGACCGCACACCCUGCACUCUUAUUUGCUGAAUGUGGUCAACCCAGUGAAGGGAGUCCUCGGUUCUCUUAACGGGGAGGUUUGAAGAAGGCUGAACGCAGAUAUUAUGGGGGGUCCAGGCGCAAGGAGGGGGCAGCUGCCUGAGAGGACGGGAGCGCUCAGGGGAAGCGGGUGUGGCCUCCAGCUAAGAGCAGAGGACAAGUGCAGAUGCGGGGUGGGGGCCCCGGGCUGGGAGGAG
rnacentral:lncRNA from 1 species